rnacentral:rRNA from 1 species
GACGAAGGAUGCAAGCGUUAUCCGGAUUCAUUGGGUUUAAAGGGCGCGUAGGUGGUCUUAUAAGUCAGUGGUGAAAUCUUUGGGCUUAACCCAAAAAUUGCCAUUGAUACUGUAGGACUUGAGUAUAGUUGCCGUUGGCGGAAUAUGACAUGUAGUGGUGAAAUACAUAGAGAUGUCAUAGAACACCGAUUGCGAAGGCAGCUGACGAAACUAUAACUGACACUGAGGCUCGAAAGUGUGGGGAUCAAACAGG